rnacentral:rRNA from 1 species
AUACGUAGGUGACAAGCGUUAUCCGGAUUUACUGGGCGUAAAGGGCGUGUAGGCGGUCUUGCAAGUCAGAAGUGAAAUUCCUGAGCUCAACUCGGGCGCUGCUUCUGAAACUGCAGGACUUGAGUGCUGGAGGGGAUAGCGGAAUUCCUAGUGGAGCGGUAAAAUGCGCAGAUAUUAGGAAGAACAUCGGUGGCGAAGGCGGCUAUCUGGACAGUAACUGACGCUGAGGCGCGAAAGCGUGGGGAGCAAAAAGGAUUAGAUACCCUGGUAGUCCACGCCGUAAACGAGGAAUACUAGGUGUAGGGGGUAUCGACUCCCUCUGUGCCGCAGUUAACACAAUAAGUAUUCCGCCUGGGGAGUACGGCCGCAAGGUUGAAACUCAAAGGAAUUGACGGGG